rnacentral:misc_RNA from 1 species
CUUCCGUAGGUGAACCUGCGGAAGGAUCAUUAAUAAAUAGUCACCGGUUUGAAGGUGGCAUUAAUAAUCAUCCUACCCUUUGUGAAUUUGUUGUCAAUUGUAUUAUUAUUAGUGUCUUUCCCUAAUGGAAAAAAUAUCGCGUAAAGUGGUAAUUUUGAAAUUAGGGGAUAGACUUUAAUAAACCUUUUUUUUAAAUAAAACUUUUUGUAUUCAUUUGUCUAAAAAUUAUUUUUAUAAUAUAAAAACAACUUUUGACAAUGGAUCUCUUGGUUCUCGCAACGAUGAAGAACGCAGCAAAAUGCGAUAAGUAGUGUGAAUUGCAGAAUACGUGAAUCAUCGAAUCUUCGAACGCAUAUUGCACUUUUUUAGUUUACUAAAAAAGUAUGUCUGUUUGAGUAUCAGUAAAAUAUUCUCAUAAAAAACUUUUUUGUUUUUUAUGGUUAUGAGUGUUCUACAACGAUAAACAAGUUGUUUCACUUUAAAUUUUUUUUUAAAAUUUGAAAUUUUUUCUAAUUUUAAUAUAAAAUUGGAUAAAAUUUUCCCGUAAAAAAGGAAUAACCUAAACAAUUUUAUAUCAAUUAGUAGAAUUUCAAUUCUUAAAGGAAAUUUUAUACAAAAUAACUUGAUCUCAAAUCAGAUAAGAGUACCCGCUGAACUUAAGCAUAUCAAUAAGCGGAGGAAAAGAAACUAACUAGGAUUCCCUCAGUAACGGCGAGUGAAGCGGGAAGAGCUCAAACUUGAAAUCUUCAAGGUUUUACCUUGACGAAUUGUAGUUUAAAGAAGUGUUUUCUGUUGAAGUUUUGGUAAAAGUUCUUUGGAAUAGGACAUCAUAGAGGGUGAGAAUCCCGUAUUUGACCAUUUCUUUCAGCUUUGUGAUACACUUUCAAAGAGUCGGAUUGUUUGGGGAUGCAGUCCAAAAUGGGUGGUAAAUUUCAUCUAAAGCUAAAUAUUGGCGAGAGACCGAUAGCGAACAAGUACCGUGAGGGAAAGAUGAAAAGAACUUUGAAAAGAGAGUUAAACAGUACGUGAAAUUGUCAAAAGGGAAGCGUUUGACACCAGUGUUGUUUUCUCGAAAAUCAAUUUAAAAUGGCCGAUACUAAGUGGCUAAGACUUUAUCAGCUUGUUACUUAGUUUUCUUGUCUUUUUAAAUGCACUUUUCGUUUAACAAGUCAACAUCAAUUUCUUUUGCUGUAAAAGGGUAAGAGGAAGGUGGCUUUGACUUCGGUUAAAGUGUUUAUAGCCUUUUACCUCUGCAGUCGGAGAGAUUGAGGUCUGCAGCGUAGACUCUUCGGGGUUAGAUACAUUUGUGCUAAGCUAUAGCUUUUUAUAGACAACUUGUUGACUAUGAUUAGUCUUGUAGUUUACUCGCUUAUGCUAUUUUACCUACGCUUAGGAUGUUG